rnacentral:rRNA from 1 species
CUGAAAGGGGUCGGCUCUACGGAGCCUGUGUCGAGGUGCUGCAUGGUUGUCGUCAGCUCGUGCCGUGAGGUGUCGGCUUAAGUGCCAUAACGAGCGUAACCCCCAUCGACAGUUGCUAACAGGUUAGGCUGAGGACUCUGUCGAGACUGCCGGCGCAAGCUGCGAGGAAGGCGGGGAUGACGUCAAAUCAGCACGGCCCUUACGUCCGGGGCGACACACGUGUUACAAUGGCAGGUACAGCGGGAAGCCACCUGGCGACAGGGAGCGGAACCCGAAAGCCUGUCUCAGUUCGGAUUGGAGUCUGCAACCCGACUCCAUGAAGCUGGAUUCGCUAGUAAUCGCGCAUCAGCCACGGCGCGGUGAAUACGUUCCCGGGCCUUGUACACACCGCCCGUCAAGCCAUGGAAGCCGGGGGUGCCUGAAGUGCGCUGCCGCAAGGAGCGCCCUAGGGUAAAACCGGUGACUGGGGCUAAGUCGUAACAAGGUAGCCGUACCGGAAGGUGCGGUUGGAUCA